rnacentral:rRNA from 1 species
GACAGAGGGGGCAAGCGUUGCUCGGAAUUACUGGGCGUAAAGGGCGCGUAGGCGGGAUGGCAAGUCGGUCGUGAAAUCUCUCGGCUCAACCGAGGAACGUCGAUCGAUACUGCUGUUCUUGAGGAUUGCAGAGGAGACUGGAAUUCCCGGUGUAGCGGUGAAAUGUGUAGAGAUCGGGAGGAACACCGGUGGCGAAGGCGGGUCUCUGGGCAAUUCCUGACGCUGAGGCGCGAAAGCGUGGGGAGCAAACGGG